rnacentral:rRNA from 1 species
UGGCCUCAAAUCGGGUGAGACUACCCGCUGAACUU